rnacentral:rRNA from 1 species
UACGUAGGUGACAAGCGUUGUCCGGAUUUACUGGGCGUAAAGAGCGCGCAGGCGGUCGUUCAAGUCGAGUGUGAAAGCCCCCGGCUCAACUGGGGAGGGUCAUUCGAUACUGAUCGACUCGAAGGCAGGAGAGGGAAGUGGAAUUCCCGGUGUAGUGGUGAAAUGCGUAGAUAUCGGGAGGAACACCAGUGGCGAAGGCGACUUCCUGGCCUGUUCUUGACGCUGAGGCGCGAAAGCCAGGGGAGCAAACGGG